rnacentral:rRNA from 1 species
GUGUCAGCAGCCGCGGUAAUACGUAGGGUGCGAGCGUUGUCCGGAAUUACUGGGCGUAAAGAGCUCGUAGGUGGUUUGUCGCGUCGUCUGUGAAAUCCCGGGGCUUAACCUCGGGCGUGCAGGCGAUACGGGCAUAACUUGAGUGCUGUAGGGGAGACUGGAAUUCCUGGUGUAGCGGUGAAAUGCGCAGAUAUCAGGAGGAACACCAAUGGCGAAGGCAGGUCUCUGGGCAGUAACUGACGCUGAGGAGCGAAAGCAUGGGUAGCGAACAGGAUUAGAAACCCCAGUAGUCC